UUAAUGGACUUAAUCAAGUCCACCUAGGUUAUCUAAAUAAAUUUCU
rfam:Fukomys damarensis contig127330, whole genome shotgun sequence.